rnacentral:rRNA from 1 species
GACGAACGCUGGCGGCGUGCUUAACACAUGCAAGUCGAACGGAAAGGCCCCUUUGGGGGUACUCGAGUGGCGAACGGGUGCGUAACACGUGAGUAACCUGCCCUUGACUUCGGGAUAACUUCAGGAAACUGGGGCUAAUACCGGCAAGGAAUCCUUGCUGCAUGGUGGGGGUUGGAAAGCUUCGGCGGUUUUGGAUGGACUCGUGGCGUAUCAGCUUGUUGGUGGGGUAGUGGCUUACCAAGGCUUUGACGGGUAGCCGGCCUGAGAGGGCGACCGGCCACCCUGAGACCGACGGACGGCCCCGGCACGUAAGGGAGGCCGAAGUGGGGAAGAUUGCACAAGGGGCGGAAGGCGGAUGCAGCAACGCUGCGGGCGGGAAGACGGUCUUAGUGGUGAAAACCGCUUGUAGCAGGGGCGAAGCUUGUGGUGACGGUACCUGCAGAAGAAGCACCGGCUAACUACGUG